rnacentral:ncRNA from 2 species
AUAAUAUUUUGAAGCUAAGAAGAAUCAUCUAUAUUUGGGCACUUGGAUGAUUUCGAGCUAGUAGUGCAACCGGCCAAAUUUUGU